rnacentral:misc_RNA from 1 species
GCGGUGGUGAUCCCAUUUCAAGAUUUACUAAUAUGGGUUUUAAUAUGAUACUUUCAUUUGAGCUUCCAUUUGCACUCAUCCCACUUCUCAGCAGCAGAUGGGGAUUUGCAGAUGUCAUUUGACUUGAGCGUGGGAUUUUAGACUAGUUUCAUGAUGAUUCAUCCGGAGAGUAGACUGGUACGUAGUCCAACAUGGAUACGCAAAAAGUUACUAGAAC